UACGUAGGGUGCGAGCGUUAAUCGGAAUUACUGGGCGUAAAGCGUGCGCAGGCGGUUUUGUAAGCCAGAUGUGAAAUCCCCGGGCUUAACCUGGGAAUGGCAUUUGGGACUGCAAGGCUGGAGUGUGGCAGAGGAGACUGGAAUUCCUGGUGUAGCAGUGAAAUGCGUAGAUAUCGGAAGGAACAUCAGUGGCGAAAGCGACUUCCUGGACCAAUACUGACGCUCAUGUGCGAAAGCGUGGGGAGCAAACAGG
rnacentral:rRNA from 1 species